AUUGAACGCUGGCGGCAGGCCUAACACAUGCAAUUCGAGCGGAGCGGCGGACGGGUGAGUAAUGUAUGGGGAUCUGCCCUAUAGUGGGGGAUAACUACUGUCAACGGUGGCUAAUACCGCAUACUAUCGGAGGAACCCAUAUGGGAUUAGCUAGUAGGUGGGGUAAAGGCGCACCUAGGCGACGAUCUCUAGCUGGUCUGAGAGGAUGAUCAGACACACUGGGACGGAGACACGGUCCAGACUCCUACGGGAGGCAGCAGUGGGGAAUAUUGGACAAUGGGCGAAAGCCUGCUCCAGCCAUGCCGCGUGUGUUAAGAAGGUCUUCGGAGUGUAAAGCACUGUAAGUUGGGAGGCGUUACCAACAGAAUAAGCACCGUCUAACUUCGUGCCAGCAGCCGCGGUAAUAC
rnacentral:rRNA from 1 species